UGUGUGUGUGUGUGUGUGUGUGUGUGUGUGUGUGUAUAUAUAUAUAUAUAUGUGUGUGUGUGUGUGUAUAUAUAUAUAUAUAUACACACACACACACACACACACACACACACACA